AGUCUUCCGUAAGGGGUAACCUGCGGAGGGAUCAUUACACAAAUAUGAAGGCGGGCUGGAACCUCUCGGGGUUACAGCCUUGCUGAAUUAUUCACCCUUGUCUUUUGCGUACUUCUUGUUUCCUUGGUGGGUUCGCCCACCACUAGGACAAACAUAAACCUUUUGUAAUUGCAAUCAGCGUCAGUAACAAAUUAAUAAUUACAACUUUCAACAACGGAUCUCUUGGUUCUGGCAUCGAUGAAGAACGCAGCGAAAUGCGAUAAGUAGUGUGAAUUGCAGAAUUCAGUGAAUCAUCGAAUCUUUGAACGCACAUUGCGCCCUUUGGUAUUCCAAAGGGCAUGCCUGUUCGAGCGUCAUUUGUACCCUCAAGCUUUGCUUGGUGUUGGGCGUCUUGUCUCUAGCUUUGCUGGAGACUCGCCUUAAAGUAAUUGGCAGCCGGCCUACUGGUUUCGGAGCGCAGCACAAGUCGCACUCUCUAUCAGCAAAGGUCUAGCAUCCAUUAAGCCUUUUUUUCAACUUUUGACCUCGGAUCAGGUAGGGAUACCCGCUGAACUUAAGCAUAUCAAUAAGCAA
rnacentral:rRNA from 1 species